rnacentral:tRNA from 1 species
UCCUCUGUAGUUCAGUCGGUAUAACGGCGGACUGUUAAUCCGUAUGUCACUGGUUCGAGUCCAGUCAGAGGAGCCA